rnacentral:rRNA from 1 species
UACGAAGGGGGCUAGCGUUGCUCGGAAUUACUGGGCGUAAAGGGCGCGUAGGCGGGUCGUUUAGUUAGAGGUGAAAGCCCAGGGCUCAACCCUGGAAUAGCCUUUAAUACUGGCGGCCUUGAGUAUGGCAGAGGUGUGUGGAACUCCAAGUGUAGAGGUGAAAUUCGUAGAUAUUCGGAAGAACACCAGUGGCGAAGGCGCCACACUGGGCCAUUACUGACGCUGAGGCGCGAAAGCGUGGGGAGCAAACAGG